rnacentral:rRNA from 1 species
AACGAACGCUGGCGGCAGGCUUAACACAUGCAAGUCGAACGCCCCGCAAGGGGAGUGGCAGACGGGUGAGUAACGCGUGGGAACAUACCCUUUCCUGCGGAAUAGCUCUGGGAAACUGGAAUUAAUACCGCAUACGCCCUACGGGGGAAAGAUUUAUCGGGGAAGGAUUGGCCCGCGUUGGAUUAGCUAGUUGGUGGGGUAAAGGCCUACCAAGGCGACGAUCCAUAGCUGGUCUGAGAGGAUGAUCAGCCACAUUGGGACUGAGACACGGCCCAAACUCCUACGUGAGGCAGCAGUGGGGAAUAUUGAACAAUGGGCGCAAGCCUGAUCCAGCCAUGCCGCGUGAGUGAUGAAGGCCUUAGGGUUGUAAAGCUCUUUCACCGAUGAAGAUAAUGACGGUAGUCGGAGAAGAAGCCCCGGCUAACUUCGUGCCAGCCGCCGCAGUAACAC